AGAAAAGGGACAAUGGCGUCUGCUCACCCUGACACCAGACACUUCAGCUCCUCCCUGUGUGCCACUGGUGCCUUUCAAGCAGCCACCCCGGUGCUGGAGCUCGGAGGAGUGAUUCUGAGUAGGUUGCCGUGCAGGCGGGUGUCGCCACUCUGGAGACGUCAGAGAAUGCAGCUCCUGCCGUCCACGGAGUUCUGUCUCCCUCCAAGGGCGCGUGUGCCCUCCCUGCGCCCUCCCUGCGCCCAGAAGGAGCGCCUGCCCCGAGGAAGAGAGGAGAAGCCCCUGGCUGGCUGGACCUCCUGAGCAGGGGCAGACCCCCAGGUCCCACCGAGGAGGACAGACCCUCAGCGGAGUCUCUGCCCCUGAGGCCAGCGGAGGGCCCUGUUCGCUCCCGGAGACGAGCCCUGCAGAGGAGGGGCAGGCCCCAGCGCCCAGGUCUCCUUCACGGACGCGUCCAUGGCAUGCGGGAGUGCGGCCGGAGCAGCAGAGAGGAAGCGGCAGCUCCCUCACGGCACAGACGGGACACCCGUGCGCGGAGACGUGAGUCCACCACGGCCCGUCACAGAGCUCGCAGCCCGAGUGGCAGGAGAGAAGAAGAAAGGGACAGGUAGGAGCCCCAAGCCCCAGCCUCCAGGUCCGGGGCCGCCCCCUCGGCGAGCGCGACACACCCUGAGUGGCUGUAACCUCGACGCUGAGGCCCACGCUGCCGCUGAUGACAGAGACACCGCUGGCCCGACUCGGCCCCCGACCUCCCCACCCAUGGCCCCAUAAGGACGCCUUUUCCCACACGUCUGAGAGCCAAUAGCCACUUGGACCAGAGUGGCCUUGGCUCCUGGCUGCGUCCUGACAUCUUCAGGAGGUCGUGCGUGCGGCAGGAGCGGCUUGCAGAGACCGAGGACGGAGGAUGAUGUUCCUGGCAGGCCCGGCUGCUGGAGAUUCCAGUUUCCAGAUCUCAUUAUCUGCAGGUGCCGACACGGGGGCUGUCAAUCACAGAGAGACGUGAGAAACCGCAGCCACACGGGGGCCUGCCUGACCCCCUCCUCUGCUCUCUGGGGAUGGAGAAAGCUCCGAGGGGCUGUCUUACAAGGAGUUCAGCCCCACUGAGCGAACCCCAGGACUUGGCCUUGUGGGCGUCGGCUGCCCACGUGUGACCCGCAGCAGGAGGAGCCCCUGGUGGCUGCCUGGCCGCAGGAGCGGGGCCGGUCCAGUUGCCUCGGACCCCGGGCACCUUGCUGUGGGCACCGGCAGGCAUCCACCACCAGGACUCCACGCUGCUGCGGGCCCCCGAACACCAGCCCUGGAGGGUAGUCACCUGCUGAGGCCAAAGGUCCCGGCCAGGGCUCGUCCUGAAAGUCUCCACCAUCCACAGAACAACACUAAAAAAAGUGAAACCCCUGCCUACAAAAUAAAGGUUCAGAAAAGAAAGGUUCAGAAACAGCGCCGAUAACCAGGCAGGCACGACACCGCUUCCUGAGGCUUUGCCUGACUUCCCUAGUGCCGGCCUGCGGGAGACCCCCAGCCCCACAGGGCAGGCACCGGCAGGCCCCUGGUUCAGAUCUUAAGAACAACACAGUAAAAACACUGGGCGUUGGGAUGCCCACUUACUGCUUCUCCGCUGAGGACUGAGAGAGGAUUCCCGUGGGGGAAACCAGGAACACCACGAGGCCG